rnacentral:rRNA from 1 species
UACAGAGGUCCCAAGCGUUGUUCGGAUUCACUGGGCGUAAAGGGUGCGUAGGCGGUCGGGUAAGUCUGAUGUGAAAUCUCACAGCUUAACUGUGAAACUGCAUUGGAUACUAUCCGGCUCGAGGAAUGGAGGGGGGACUGGAAUACUUGGUGUAGCAGUGAAAUGCGUAGAUAUCAAGUGGAACACCAGUGGCGAAGGCGAGUCUCUGGACAUUUCCUGAUGCUGAGGCACGAAAGCCAGGGGAGCAAACGGG